UACAGAGGGGGCCAGCGUUAUUCGGAAUUAUUGGGCGUAAAGCGCGUGUAGGCGGCUAUCUAAGUCUGGUGUGAAAGCCCUGGGCUCAACCCGGGAAGUGCACUGGAUACUGGAUAGCUAGAGGACGAGAGAGGAGAGUGGAAUUCCUGGUGUAGGGGUGAAAUCCGUAGAUAUCAGGAGGAACAUCAGCGGCGAAGGCGGCUCUCUGGCUCGUAUCUGACGCUGAGACGCGAAAGCGUGGGGAGCAAACAGG
rnacentral:rRNA from 1 species